UACGAAGGGUGCAAGCGUUACUCGGAAUUACUGGGCGUAAAGCGUGCGUAGGUGGUGAGUUAAGUCUGUCGUGAAAGCCCUGGGCUCAACCCAGGAACUGCUUCGGAUACUGGCGCGCUUGAGGCUAGUAGGGGUCACUGGAACUGACGGUGGAGCGGUGAAAUGCGUAGAUAUCGUCAGGAACGCCAAUGGUGAAGACAGGUGACUGGGCUAGUUCUGACACUGAGGCACGAAAGCGUGGGGAGCGAACGGG
rnacentral:rRNA from 1 species